rnacentral:rRNA from 1 species
UACGGAGGGUGCGAGCGUUGUCCGGAAUCAUUGGGCGUAAAGGGCGCGUAGGUGGCCCGGUCAGUCUUUGGUGAAAGCGCGGGGCUCAACCCUGCGUCGGCCAGGGAUACUGCCGCGGCUCGAGCACUGUAGAGGCAGGCGGAAUUCCGGGUGUAGCGGUGGAAUGCGUAGAGAUCGGGAGGAACACCAGUGGCGAAGGCGGCUCGCUGGGCCGGUCCUGACGCUGAGACGCGAAGGCGUGGGGAGCGAACGGG